rnacentral:rRNA from 1 species
GACAGAGGUGCCGAGCGUUAGGCGGAAUCACUGGGCUUAAAGCGUGUGUAGGCGGAUGCCUAAGUACCUUGUGAAAUCCCACGGCUCAACCGUGGAACUGCUUGGUAUACUGGGUGUCUUGAGCUAUCUAGGGGCAACUGGAACAAACGGUGGAGCGGUGAAAUGCGUAGAUAUCGUUUGGAACGCCAAUGGUGAAAACAGGUUGCUGGGGAUAUGCUGACGCUGAGACACGAAAGCCAGGGGAGCAAACGGG